rfam:Candidatus Curtissbacteria bacterium RIFCSPLOWO2_01_FTLL_42_50 rifcsplowo2_01_scaffold_6033, whole genome shotgun sequence.
GGAGAGGUCGCAUAGUGGACUAGUGCGCAGACCUGGAAAGUCUGUAUACUCGCAAGGGUAUCGAGGGUUCGAAUCCCUCCCUCUCCG